rnacentral:pre_miRNA from 1 species
UGAUUCAGUACUCUUUGAAAGACACAGGUAGUGGGACAGAUAUUAUCUAAUAAAAGCUUGUCCUUCUAAUGUGUUUUUCGAAAACCAUUGAAUCAAUCAU